rnacentral:rRNA from 1 species
GGGUCAGUAGGUUGGUCGUGCCACCGGUACGUACUGGUCUCACUGAUUCCUCCUUCCCGAAGAACCGUAAUGCCAUUAAUUUGGUGUUGCGGGGAAACAGGACUGUUACUUUGAAAAAAUUAGAGUGUUUAAAGCAAGCUAACGCUUGAAUACAUUAGCAUGGAAUAAUGAAAUAGGACGAUCGAUCCUAUUUUGUUGGUUCCUAGGAUUGACGCA